rnacentral:lncRNA from 1 species
UUGAUUUGAAAGGUAAGCAAUUGAGGGAUAAAACGUAUAGCUGCUUCGCAUGGUCUUUGCGCGGAGUGAGCCUGGACUAAGUGGUGAAUAAGUAUGAAGGAUUAAGUGUUCGUUCGAGCAUAAGUUAUGGAUCAUAAAUGUUAUCGGCCUUAAAUCUUUCUCAUGGUAUCUGAGGACCAUAGAUAGGUACGUCAGGUAGGAAUUUCGAUUGUAGAUAGUUUGCUCUUGAGACUGCAGCUCGAGAUGUGAAUUAUCUUAUUUCGGAUUCUUGUGCCUGAGUACUCUAGAGUUGAGGCGCUGCUAAGUACUUGAGACUUGUAUUUUGGAAUAUGAACAGGCUUUGUCCGACUAAAAUGAAUAUAAGAAAUCUACGGACAUCGAGUGACUAGGAAGUGACGUGAGAGACCGGACGGGGUCAUCUUAGCUGAGUCUGGAAAAUAUUGUAACCCAAAAGAUCCUUGGGGUGAGAUUGAAAUGAUUCUUAGUACGUGAUCAACUUUCGAGAACUAUUUUUUUGAUCUGAUUAAUGCAAGUUGGAAUUUCGAGGUCGAAAUUCUUUUAAGGGGGAGAGAGUGUGAGGACUCGCAAAUUCCUUGCAUAUUUCUCAAAAAUUCCCUUUUAUUUGAAAUUAUUUGGAAAUUAUUAUUUCAUGUUAUCCAUGGUUCAAUCACCCUAGAAAAGUGCCAAUGACCAUAGGAAAUUAGGGUUUUCCUAUUCGUUUUCAAUUCAAGGUGAAAUCGGAUUUUUCGUGUAACCGCAGUAUAAUUAUCCGGUACCGAGUAAGGAUCAAAUUUGGUGCUUAAGAGUGACUUUUAAGUGAGAAAUAAUAUGUGGUUAGAAGCAAUGAUAAAAAGUUAGUGAAUUGGAAGUAAAAACCCUAGUACGUGCGAUUUAAGAGAAAACGCGUCACACCGACGUGUACCGUGCACUACCGUUUGAACACACCACGGGACCACCACUUUCUUACCACAUGAGCUCAUUGAUAUUUGAGCAAAAUAUCCCUUCAUUUCCAGCUGCCUUUGACCGAAAUUUGUGGCCAAAAAUGUAAGGGAGAGAGAGAAAUAUUUGCAUGGCUUUGGUGGCGCCAAGUGUCACCACCUCAUGGCUCCUUAAUUAAUUUUUUUUUCUUGCCUUUUUAUCCUUCACUUCAGCCAUCUUUCUUCUUCAUUUUUUCUGGUCUUGGCCAAGCAAGAGAGAGAAAGGGAGAGCAAGAGAAAACAAAUUCCUUCUUGAUUUACACCAACCAAGUGCUAAAAUCGAAUUCUAAACCGAUUGAUUGUAAGUUUGGAAGCUUGGGAAGCUAAGGGAACCAAAAACUUCAAGAAAUAGUGGAGGAUCACUCUUGCAAGCCUUCUUUUUGAGGUAUAAAAUCUGAUCUAUGGCUUUGAUCCUUUUAUUCUUGUUUAAGAUGUUAAAUAGUCCAUGUUUUGGGUUUGAUUACAAGUGAUGUAAGUUGUUGUGGUGAUUUUUGGAUGAAAUAUGUAAGUUAGAGUUUGAUUAAUUUCUGCCUCAACUUGUUGUAUAGUUAGUAUAUGUUGUAUAUAAGGUUAUAUAGGGGGUUUUGGUAGCAAGUGUAGCAAGAAAUUAAGAAAACUAUCAUUGAAACCAAAAGAUUUCAGAUUUCUGGAAAUUUUCAUCCUAUUCUGCCCGUUUUUGUUGCACCAUGUUAGAGGCCGAAUUGGGCUUGGCUUAAAACAUCAAAGUUGUAGGUAAUGGCAUUUUAUAGGUGCCUACAAAAUUUCAGCUCAAUCGGAGCAACGUAGCCUGUGAAAAGACCAAAAUACCCUCACUGUUUUAGGAAAUUUCCAGUGUUCCGUUUUCGUCAGUUCAUCCGGUUUAUCACGUUUUUCCACUAGGAUCCGUACUGAUUUAGCUUUUUACCAAAACGUGAAAGUUGUAGUAUUCUGACUUAUCUUUCAAACGCCUCUAAGAACACCUGAAUCGGACUUUUGUAACCUGAGAUAUGACCAUUACAGUACAAUGCGGUUAGACAGACGACGAGUUAGAUUUUAGUUCUGUAAAUUGAGGAUUUGACUAAGUUGCAUUGGAAACUGGACUACGUUACCUUCAUGAACAUUGUAGCCCUGUGUCUUAGCUUCGAAACGGCAUAAGUUACGCCUCAAUCCGAUAAGCUUAGCCUCGGAUAUGUUAUUUCCGCAUCCACACGUCAAAUCUGUCUUUUGCUAGAUUGUAUUUCCGCACUUGUUAUUACUUUGAUUCUUGUUCUUAUGAUGUUAUGAGCCUAUGGAAUGGCUAUUGACUUGAAUUUAUGAUAUGUAUAACUUUGGGAUUGGCUGAGGAAAAAUAAUGAAGCCAAAAUGGCUGGAAAAUUAGGUAAACACAAAGGGCGUGCUGCCCAAAUUUUCGCUCGAGGGCUAGGUUUCUAUUUGGCCAAUACCAUGACCGGCUUUCCAUUUUAAAACAUGAUUUUUCAUCCUUGGGUUCAAACAACCCUCUUCUUACUUGAAAUUCAUCUUUACACGUUUUACUCCUAAUUAGUCCAGUUUCUUUGUUUCCCUUAAAUGUUUUGCUCGAUAAACUGUAAUAUGUUUUCUUGUUCAACCUUAGGUUUCAUUGGUGACUAAGGGUAAUAUCCGGAAGGAUAUUUUGCACGUUAUUUUGCAUAACUAGGUGAGUGUUCCUUGUUUGUUAUAUUCUCCCUGACUUCAUGACUUGUUGUUGUUGUUUUGAUAAUGUGUUAAGUGCUUUCAAGGAUUUCUAAAAUGAGUUUUCUAGGUGAGCGUGUACUUUAUCGCGCUCGACCUUAAUGAAACGUGAAAUUUUCAAUGAUUUAAUGAUGGAAACAUUAGUUGCGCAUGAUGUAAGCCUUUUGGCUGAAUUGGGCCCUGCCCUUCGUUACCGAUCGACUCGAGCCAGAAGCGGACUCGGUCGGGCGAUAUGGUGAUCCUGGGUGAAUUUGGUAUACUCGAGUAUUACCUUGUAGUCCGGCUACGUCCGGAUGGGUGGAGUCCGGUCAACGUCCGGAUGGGUGGAGUCCGCUCAAUGUCCGGAAAGGGAUGAAUGAACGAACGAAGGCACGAGGGUUUUAUUUCUCAAAAAGGAAAUUUCAAAUAAUUGGAGGAAUAAGGGGAAAUGUCAGGGGAACGAACGAAAGAACGAAUAGCUCCAUGUGAGCCCGUAUCCUUUUAAUGAAUGUUACUAUUUCUUUCCAUUGUAAAUGUUUCUUGAAUUAUUGAUACUCCAUGUUUAAUGUGUUGAAUUGAUUGUUUGAUUAGCUGUUCAGAACCUCACUGAGCUUUUAGCUCACCCCUUUAGUUUUGUUUUCCUUAACAAGGGACGGCGAGCAGGAUGAGAGCAUAGACUAGCCUACUCUAGGUCUUUUGUUUCUUUUGUAAUGGUUCUCGCCCUAGUGCUUGGCACGGGCUGGUUGUAUGGUGAAGUGAGAACCUUUGUACAUUUGAUGGCUGUACUUCCUUUUGAGAUAGCAAUGUAUAUAAGUUCCGCUUUAAGUUUGGAUUGCUGCCCUAUUUAUUCUUGUGAUUUAUUCUGGAUUUGAUUAAGGAACGACUGAGUCCCGGCGAGAGCCGGGCAGGCGACUCGCCAAACCCUUUGGUUCGCCUUAGGGGGAGGUGGGGCCGUCACAGGUGGUAUCAGAGCUUAGGCUUCAGAUUUCUGUAGUGUAUCCUAGGCUUAAAGUUUGGGAUGCCGGACUGUGAGAUUUGAUUUGAUUUGAAAGGUAAGCAAUUGAGGGAUAAAACGUAUAGCUGCUUCGCAUGGUCUUUGCGCGGAGUGAGCCUGGACUAAGUGGUGAAUAAGUAUGAAGGAUUAAGUGUUCGUUCGAGCAUAAGUUAUGGAUCAUAAAUGUUAUCGGCCUUAAAUCUUUCUCAUGGUAUCUGAGGACCAUAGAUAGGUACGUCAGGUAGGAAUUUCGAUUGUAGAUAGUUUGCUCUUGAGACUGCAGCUCGAGAUGUGAAUUAUCUUAUUUCGGAUUCUUG